rnacentral:misc_RNA from 1 species
CCCUCCCUAAAUCACUCCAAAAAAAAACAAUCCCCAAUUCUACACAAGUGUUUCUACACUAACAAAGCAACAGCUCCUUAACGAAUUCCCAACUUUACAUGAGCUCGUCUCUCGAGGUUAAAUGUUAUUACUUGCAAGAUUCGGACCUCGCCAAGUGUUUUGAAAACCCGCAACGCCGCAAAGGUGGAUAGUGAGAAUAAUAAGUGAAGAGACGAGACUUGUCCAAAACGCCCACCACGAAGGUGCAUAGUGAGAAGAGUAAGUCAAGAGAUAGACUUGUCCAAAAAGAAACGGAAGAGAAAGCUUGGGGAGACGCUCACGAAGGUGCAUAGUGAGAAGAGUAAGUCAAGAGAUGACUUGUUCAAAAAGAAACAGAAGAGAAUGCUUGGGGUUACACUCACGAAGGUGCAUAGUGAGAAAAGAGUAAGUCAAGAGACAGACUUGUUCAAAAAGAAACAAAAGAGAAUGCUUGGGGAGAUAGAAGUGUGAGAUAGUUCUCAAGCUAAGAAAGUUGUAAAAGCUAAGAACUAGGAGUGGUCGAGGAUUUGUCGACCAGGAGUUGAAAUCGUCGACCGGACCGAGAAUUGGGCCGACCAGACGGCGGAAUGCCUCGACCAGGACGAUGAAUGGGCGAUGAAAAUCUAUCGGGUUAGAGGAAUGGUCGACCAGAAGUUGGAAUCGUCGACGGUCCGAGAAUUCGUCGACCAGACGAGGAGUGGUCGAGGAUUUGUCGACCAGGAGUUGAAAUCGUCGACCGGGUCCGAGAAUUCGUCGAC